ACUAAAUUUAUCAUUUUGGCACUGUAUAAUCAUUAGCGUAUUCUGAAUAACUAUCUGACAUGAAGUCAGUUUCUGACAAGUUAUUUUGAUGAUCUGUUAGCAUUUAUUUAUUUAUUUACCAGAGGCGUGGUGCAUGAAAUCAUGCAUUGGUGGGGUCCCUCGACAUGGCCUUCGGGGAUCGGGCCAAACUGACAGUCCAACAUCCCCCAAGGGAUCCCGGCUUGCUAGAGGGC